AUCCGGGGGCGGGGUGGAGGCGGGGAGAAGCCCCCACUGGGCACAGUGCCCCGGGGCUGGCUCUGUGGCUGAGCUUUGAUAUGGGGUGAGGGGGUUACUGCUGACAGCCGGGCUCCCUCACCCCCACCCAGGCUGCCCACGGACUGAACCACUAAUGACUCAGGCCCUGCCACCUGCUGGGAAGUCAGCUGGAAAGUUUUUUUCGUGAUUCAGGGAAUCCCCCGCUUACGGUUACCUUCAGAUAGAAAGUCUACCAGAUCCUUCUCCCCUGUGAUUGACAUUUCUCCAAACCAUAGACCAGGGAGGGGUGCUGAGGUCAGGGUCAGCGGGCCGAGGCACAGAGGUCUGGCCCUCAGUGCCCCUCCUGUGCUCUCUCUGACCUGUGCAGCGCCUCUGACCCCCAGAUCCCUCCACCCCACCUCCUGGCUAAGUGCUUAGUCUGUGGGGAGCCUGGCCCACAUUCCUGCCCAGCCACAGUGCCUGGGAAGGGAGACACAACAUGCAGCCGGCCUGGGGCCGGCCGGUCUGGGCAGGCUCAGUGGCACCCCCAUCUGUGAGCGGCCAGGCCCUGGUGGGAGAUGUGCCCUCGCGGUGGCCCAGCCCCGAUCAAAAGACCCCCAGGCUCAGGUCGGGAGCCCCUAGUCCCAGACGACACUCUCCUGGCUCAGCCACUCCCCAGCUAAGCCCAGAGCUCACCUCCCCCUCUUCCAGCUCGGCCGGGCUCAGCCCUCCCGGCUGCAGGGACCCCCUUUCUCCUAGGAACCGGGAGGGAACAGCCGCCUGGGACUUCCCUGGCCCCCUCCUGGGCCCAGCUGCAGCCACAACCGGCUCUGCCCCGCCGCUUGCUGGCGGCUGCCCGCACUGCGCCUCCGGGCACGGCUCCGGGGUCGCUCCCGGCCGCGCGCGGGCUCACCCCGACCCCCGGCCCGGCGCCCGCGCUCAGGGCUUGCUUCUCCGGCCAGGGCCGCCCGCGUCCCCCCACCGGCUCCUGGGGGCUCCUCGGGACCCCUGCGCGGCUCCGACUCCCUCGCCUCCAGCCCCUGCUCCCGCCAGAUGCACUGCACACCCGGGGCCUCGGUUUCCCCAGCAGGAAAGGAGCGUGCAGAGCCCAGAGGUAGUAAAUGCGCCCGGUGUUAGAUCCACGGGAUAGAGUCGGCCCCCGCUGCCCUGCUCCAGACAACUUGUCCCCUCCCAGAGCCGACCAGCCCCACAACCUCUAAUGCGUUCUUCUGAAGACACCCUCGGUAUGACCAACACGGCAACACUUUCUCUGCCUUGUCUCCCUGCCCUUGUCUGUCACACGGUCCCCAGCCUUGGUUGGUGGCCGUACCGCCCAGGCUUCCCUGCAGCCAGGAGCUGCUGCUGGGCCCGGGAGAGGACAGAGAAAACAAUUUGCUUUUC
rnacentral:lncRNA from 1 species